UGCAGUCGAACGAACCCUUCGGGGUUAGUGGCAGACGGGUGAGUAACGCGUGGGAAAUUACCUUAUGGUAGGGAACAACAGUUGGAAACGACUGCUAAUACCCUAUGUGCCCUACGGGGGAAAGAUUUAUCGCCAUAAGAUGUGCCCGCGUUGGAUUAGCUAGUUGGUAAGGUAAUGGCUUACCAAGGCGACGAUCCAUAGCUGGUCUGAGAGGAUGAUCAGCCACACUGGGACUGAGACACGGCCCAGACUCCUACGGGAGGCAGCAGUGGGGAAUAUUGGACAAUGGGGGCAACCCUGAUCCAGCCAUGCCGCGUGUGUGAUGACGGCCUUAGGGUUGUAAAGCACUUUCAGCAGUGAAGAUAAUGACAUUAACUGCAGAAGAAGCCCCGGCUAACUUCGUGCCAGCAGCCGCGGUAAUACGAAGGGGGCUAGCGUUGUUCGGAAUCACUGGGCGUAAAGCGUACGUAGGCGGACUGAUAAGUUAGGGGUGAAAUCCCAAGGCUCAACCUUGGAACUGCCUUUAAUACUGUUAGUCUUGAGAUCGAGAGAGGUGAGUGGAACUCCGAGUGUAGAGGUGAAAUUCAUA
rnacentral:rRNA from 1 species